rnacentral:lncRNA from 1 species
UUUAAAUUUUUAUAAAUUACUUUUAUUAAAUAUCUAAUUAUAUAUGUAGAGAUUAAUAUUUAUCUAUAUUUGAAUUAAAAAAUAAUUAUUAAAUAUAUUCAUAAUAUUUUAUGAGAUAAAAUUUUAAUUGAAUUUGAUUAAAUAGAAUAAGCAUGAAUAUGUAACCAUGAGUUUUUAAAUGAGGAAUGAAAAUUUUAUUAGAUAAAAUAGAAU